UCUGGCCAAUUAGGAGCUGACCUGC
rnacentral:piRNA from 1 species